rnacentral:rRNA from 1 species
AUGAACGCUGGCGGCGUGCCUAAUACAUGCAAGUCGAGCGAACAGACGAGGAGCUUGCUCCUCUGACGUUAGCGGCGGACGGGUGAGUAACACGUGGAUAACCUACCUAUAAGACUGGGAUAACUUCGGGAAACCGGAGCUAAUACCGGAUAAUAUAUUGAACCGCAUGGUUCAAUAGUGAAAGACGGUUUUGCUGUCACUUAUAGAUGGAUCCGCGCCGCAUUAGCUAGUUGGUAAGGUAACGGCUUACCAAGGCAACGAUGCGUAGCCGACCUGAGAGGGUGAUCGGCCACACUGGAACUGAGACACGGUCCAGACUCCUACGGGAGGCAGCAGUAGGGAAUCUUACGCAAUGGGCGAAAGCCUGACGGAGCAACGCCGCGUGAGUGAUGAAGGUCUUCGGAUCGUAAAACUCUGUUAUUAGGGAAGAACAAAUGUGUAAGUAACUAUGCACGUCUUGACGGUACCUAAUCAGAGAGCCACGGCUAACUACGUG